rnacentral:rRNA from 1 species
CCAAUAGCGUAUAUUAAAGUUGUUGCAGUUAAAAAGCUCGUAGUUGAAUUUCGAAAUCAGUACGCUGGUCGUGCCUCUGGUAUGCACUGGUGUUACUGAUUUCUCCCUUCUGAAGAACUAUCAUGCCAUUAAUUUGGUGUGGUAGGGAAUCAGGACUGUUACUUUGAAAAAAUUAGAGUGUUUAAAGCAGGCUCACGCUUGAAUACAUUAGCAUGGAAUAAUGAAAUAGGACGUUGAUCUUAUUUUGUUGGUUUCUAGGAUUGACGUAAUGAUUAAUAGGGAUAGUUGGGGGCAUUAGUAUUCAAUUGUCAGAGGUGAAAUUCUUGGAUUUAUUGAAGACUAACUACUGCGAAAGCAUUUGCCAAGGAUGUUUUCAUUAAUCAAGAACGAAAGUUAGGGGAUCGAAGACGAUCAGAUACCGUCGUAGUCUUAACCAUAAACUAUGCCGACUAGGGAUCGGAUGAUGUUAAUUUUUUAAUGACUCAUUCGGCGCCUUACG